rnacentral:rRNA from 1 species
GACGAACGCUGGCGGCGUGCUUAACACAUGCAAGUCGAACGGAAAGGCCCUUCGGGGUACUCGAGUGGCGAACGGGUGAGUAACACGUGGGUGAUCUGCCCUGCACUUUGGGAUAAGCCUGGGAAACUGGGUCUAAUACCGAAUAGGACCGCGCGCUUCAUGGUGUGUGGUGGGAAGCUUUUGCGGUGUGGGAUGGGCCCGCGGCCUAUCAGCUUGUUGGUGGGGUAAUGGCCUACCAAGGCGACGACGGGUAGCCGGCCUGAGAGGGUGACCGGCCACACUGGGACUGAGAUACGGCCCAGACUCCUACGGGAGGCAGCAGUGGGGAAUAUUGCACAAUGGGCGCAAGCCUGAUGCAGCGACGCCGCGUGAGGGAUGACGGCCUUCGGGUUGUAAACCUCUUUCACCAGGGACGAAGCGCAAGUGACGGUACCUGGAGAAGAAGCACCGGCCAACUACGUG